rnacentral:SRP_RNA from 1 species
UGCAGCUGUUACUGUUUAGGGAUAGCAAUGGAUAACAUUGCGAUAGCUUUGGGACGCUACAAUGUUGAAGGAAUUUGAGAGCCUGAGACCUCCCGUCUAUCACAAGACAUCAGUUACAGAUCAUGACUCGUUGCAAAGGGGACAUGUUCAAGUAAUAAUGAACCAUGCACCGCCUCAGGCUGGAAACAGAGCAGGGUUAGUGGUCGCUGAUGUAUGGUGUGAAGAUUGCGGUCGAGGCACACAGGUAUCUUAUAAUCUA